rnacentral:rRNA from 1 species
UAAAAACCCCGACUUCGGAAGGGGUGUAUUUAUUAGAUACAAAACCAAUGCCCUUCGGGGCUCUUUGGUGAUUCAUGAUAACUAUACGAAUCGCACGGCCUUGCGCCGGCGAUGGUUCAUUCAAAUUUCUUCCCUAUCAACUUUCGAUGUUUGGGUAUUGGCCAAACAUGGUUGCAACGGGUAACGGAGGGUUAGGGCUCGACCCCGGAGAAGGAGCCUGAGAAACGGCUACUACAUCCAAGGAAGGCGGCAGGCGCGCAAAUUACCCAAUCCCGACUCGGGGAGGUAGUGACAAUAAAUACUGAUACAGGGCCCUUUCGGGCCUUGUAAUUGGAAUGAGUACAAUUUAAAUCCCUUAACGAGGAACAAUUGGAGGGCAAGUCUGGUGCCAGCAGCCGCGGUAAUUCCAGCUCCAAUAGCGUAUAUUAAAGUUGUUGUGGUUAAAAAGCUCGUAGUUGAACCUUGGGCCUGGCUGGCCGGUCCGCCUCACCGCGUGCACUGGUCCGGCCGGGCCUUUCCCUCUGUGGAACCCCAUACCCUUCACUGGGCGUGGCGGGGAAACAGGACAUUUACUUU